UAACGGCAAUGACGGCGUUCCAUCGAUGGCGCUCGUGUUUACAGAAACUUUCGUGGGUGAAAAUAAACAAACCCGUUAAUCCAAAGUAUAUAACAAAAUCUACCGUCAUUUACGGCAUCCACAAUGCUCGAACUUGAGCCUGUCCCGGCUCUGUGCCGCCACAGCUCGUAUUCCUCUCCUCCCUCCACCUUCAGUCCCCACCGGAGAUGCAAGCAUCGCCACCGUCGAGGAUCUAGCAUCGCCUGUGGAUCUGGCCGCAACGCCUCCUUCCCUGCCGAAGGCGGUGGCAGGGCCUCUCCCCCGGCGGAUCUCCUCGGCCGCGGCGAAGUUAGUGAUUCCUCCCGACCUCGACUUUACCGAUGGCGGCGCUUCCACCUAGCGGGCAGCGGCAACGCUCUCUUCUUGCUCUAUUCCAUGGUGUACCCUCCCCCACCCCAUGGAUCUGACGGUGCCCCCUCCUCCAUGCCCUUCGAUCUGGCGACAAGCCGCACCAGGGGCUGUGGCGGCGGGGCUUCCCUCUCCUGGCUGCAGCUGCGGUGGCUUCCUCAUCUCCCCGAUGGCAUCCACUUGAAGGAACUGGCAUCCGGCGGCUCCAUCCCUGCCGAGCAGUUCCGCGUGCCUCGUGCUGGCCGCAUGCAUCAUCUCUGUCCCAGUAGCAUGCUUGGUCUGGCUGGUCGCGUAGUUGCCGAGCCAGAAGCAUGCUUUGUGUGGCGGCGCUGCCGCUGAGACAACGUCGAUGGAAUCAAGUUUGGUUGAGACAGUUGCGAACCUACAUUUUCUGAACUGAUGGCAGCCAACAAAGUGGAUAAUUUGCAUUGGAAUACCUGACGAAGUGAACUUGCUAUGUAGUAUGGCUACAUACUCAGAGUAUGAAGUAUGUGUACAUACAAUAUAUAAUAUGUGUACAUACUUAGAAUAUGAAGUAUGUGUACAUACUUAUAUAUAUAAAGCACGAACUUUGAUUAUUUCCUUUCGGAUGACUAGGAACAAUAUUCUUACUAUAAUCUGAUCAAAGAAUAGUACAUCACUCGUCCAGGAGAGGAUCUGCAUCAGUGUAAUCACGCUACUUCUUUCUUUUAUCUAUAGAUAGAUGAGAGUAUCAUCUGAUACUCUUUUUUAGAUGAGAUCAAAACAUCAAUUGAUAACUUUUAGAUUUGAGUAUCCUCAGAUACUUCCUUUGUUACACUGAGCUAUCACUUCAUACUUUCUGGGAUAUGUUUGUACCACUAGAUACUUUUUUAGAUUAUAAUUGCGGCACUUCUACAUUGUUCUAUAUUUUUCUAAAGUGUUAUAUUAUAUGUUCACAUUUUCUC